UUAAAUUGAAGAGUUUGAUCAUGGCUCAGAUUGAACGCUGGCGGCAGGCCUAACACAUGCAAGUCGAACGGUAACAGGAAGCAGCUUGCUGUUUUGCUGACGAGUGGCGGACGGGUGAGUAAUGUCUGGGAAACUGCCUGAUGGAGGGGGAUAACUACUGGAAACGGUAGCUAAUACCGCAUAACGUCGCAAGACCAAAGAGGGGGACCUUAGGGCCUCUUGCCAUCGGAUGUGCCCAGAUGGGAUUAGCUAGUAGGUGGGGUAACGGCUCACCUAGGCGACGAUCCCUAGCUGGUCUGAGAGGAUGACCAGCCACACUGGAACUGAGACACGGUCCAGACUCCUACGGGAGGCAGCAGUGGGGAAUAUUGCA
rnacentral:rRNA from 1 species